rnacentral:rRNA from 1 species
UACGAAGGGGCUAGCGUUGCUCGGAAUGACUGGGCGUAAAGGGCGCGUAGGCGGAUGGCACAGUCAGAUGUGAAAUUCCCGGGCUUAACCUGGGGGCUGCAUUUGAUACGUGUGAUCUAGAGUGAGGAAGAGGGUCGUGGAAUUCCCAGUGUAGAGGUGAAAUUCGUAGAUAUUGGGAAGAACACCGGUGGCGAAGGCGGCGACCUGGUCCUUGACUGACGCUGAGGCGCGAAAGCGUGGGGAGCAAACAGG